CCUACGGGGUGCAGCAGUGAGGAAUAUUGGUCAAUGGGCGCGAGCCUGAACCAGCCAAGUAGCGUGAAUGAUGACGGCCCUACGGGUUGUAAACUUCUUUUAUAAAGGAAUAAAGUGAGGCAAGGGUGCCAUUUUGUAGUUACUUUAUGAAUAAGGAUCGGCCAACUCCGUUCCAGCAGCCGCGGUAAUACGGUGGAUCCGAGCGUUAUCCGGAUUUAUUGGGUUGAAAGGGAGCGUAGAUGGGUUGUUAAGUCAGUUGUGAAAGUCUGCGGCUCAACCGUAAAAUUGCAAUUGAUACUGGCAGUCUUGAGUACAGUUGAGGUCGGCGGAAUUCGUGGUGUAGCGGUGAAAUGCUUAGAUAUCACGAAGAACUCCGAUUGCGAAGGCAGCUUACUAACCUGCCACUGACAUUGAUGCUCGAAAGUGUGGGUAUCAAACAGGAUUAGAUACCCUAGUAGUC
rnacentral:rRNA from 1 species